ACUCAAAUGAAUUGACGGGGGAGCGCACAACCGGUGGAGCAUGUGGUUUAAUUCGAUACAAAGCGAAGAACAUUACCUAGGUUUGACAUCUAGCUGCAACGCCUUGGAAACAAGGAAGCCUUCGAGGGUGCUAGACAGGUGAUGCAUGGCUGUCGUCAGCUCGUGUCGUGAGACGUCCGCUUAAGUGCGGUAACGAGCGCAACCCUUAUUGUAUGUUACACGUAUCAUACGAGACUGCCCCCGAUGUAUCGGGGGAGGAAGGAGAGGACGACGUCAAGUCAGCACGUCCCUUACAUCUAGGGCUACACACAUCCUACAAUGGGUAAGACAACGGGUAGCAAAGCCGCGAGGCCGAGCCAAUCCUAAUAAACUUUCCCUCAGUUCAGAUUGCAGGCUGCAACUCGCCUGCAUGAAGCCGGAAUCGGUAGUAAUCGCAAAUCAGCAGGUUGCGGUGAAUACGUUCUCGCUCCUUGCACACACCGCCCGU
rnacentral:rRNA from 1 species